UCCUUUAAUUAGGACAACGUGUAUAAACCAUACGCUCCCCCUUUACAUGUGAUGUGAGAGGGAGCGUUUUU
rnacentral:ncRNA from 1 species